AUUGAACGCUGGCGGCAGGCCUAACACAUGCAAGUCGAGCGGAUGACGGGAGCUUGCUCCUUGAUUCAGCGGCGGACGGGUGAGUAAUGCCUAGGAAUCUGUCUGGUAGUGGGGGACAACGUUUCGAAAGGAACGCUAAUACCGCAUACGUCCUACGGGAGAAAGCAGGGGACCUUCGGGCCUUGCGCUAUCAGAUGAGCCUAGGUCGGAUUAGCUAGUAGGUGAGGUAAUGGCUCACCUAGGCGACGAUCCGUAACUGGUCUGAGAGGAUGAUCAGUCACACUGGAAGUGAGACACGGUCCAGACUCCUACGGGAGGCAGCAGUGGGGAAUAUUGGACAAUGGGCGAAAGCCUGAUCCAGCCAUGCCGCGUGUGUGAAGAAGGUCUUCGGAUUGUAAAGCACUUUAAGUUGGGAGGAAGGGCAGUAAGCUAAUACCUUGCUGUUUUGACGUUACCGACAGAAUAAGCACCGGCUAACUCUGUGCCAGCCGCCGCAGUAAGAC
rnacentral:rRNA from 1 species